AUACGGAGGGUGCAAGCGUUGUCCGGAUUUAUUGGGUUUAAAGGGUACGUAGGCGGAUUUUUAAGUCCGUGGUGAAAGCCCAUCGCUUAACGAUGGAACUGCCAUGGAUACUGGAAAUCUCGAGUUCAGUUGAGGUAAGCGGAAUUUAUGAUGUAGCGGUGAAAUGCAUAGAUAUCAUAAAGAACACCUAUUGCGAAGGCAGCUUACUGGACUUGGACUGACGCUAAUGUACGAAAGCGUGGGGAGCGAACAGGAUUAGAAACCCCGGUAGUCC
rnacentral:rRNA from 1 species